rnacentral:rRNA from 1 species
GAUGAACGCUGGCGGCGUGCCUAAUACAUGCGAGUCGAGCGAACAGAUAAGGAGCUUGCUCCUUUGACGUUAGCGGCGGACGGGUGAGUAACACGUGGGUAACCUACCUAUAAGACUGGGAUAACUUCGGGAAACCGGAGCUAAUACCGGAUAACAUUUGGAACCGCAUGGUUCUAAAGUGAAAGAUGGUUUUGCUAUCACUUAUAGAUGGACCCGCGCCGUAUUAGCUAGUUGGUAAGGUAACGGCUUACCAAGGCAACGAUACGUAGCCGACCUGAGAGGGUGAUCGGCCACACUGGAACUGAGACACGGUCCAGACUCCUACGGGAGGCAGCAGUAGGGAAUCUUCCGCAAUGGGCGAAAGCCUGACGGAGCAACGCCGCGUGAGUGAUGAGGGGUUUCGGCUCGUAAAACUCUGUUAUUAGGGAAGAACAAACGUGUAAGUAACUGUGCACGUCUUGACGGUACCUAAUCAGAAAGCCACGGCUAACUACGUG